rnacentral:rRNA from 1 species
UCAAGCGACUAAGUGCAUAUGGUGGAUGCCUUGGCGAUCACAGGCGAUGAAGGACGUAGUAGCCUGCGAAAAGCUACGGGGAGCUGGCAAACAAGCUUUGAUCCGUAGAUAUCCGAAUGGGGAAACCCACCGCAGCGAUGCGGUAUCCCUAGCUGAAUACAUAGGCUAGUGGAAGCGAACCGGGUGAACUGAAACAUCUCAGUAGCUCGAGGAAAAGAAAUCAACCGAGAUUCCGAAAGUAGUGGCGAGCGAAAUCGGAAGAGCCUUUACGUUUUAGCACGCAAGAUAAUCGAACGGAAUGGAAAGUCCGGCCGUAGCAGGUGAUAGCCCUGUAGAUGAAAUUUUGUGUGUGGAACUAAGCGUAAGAAAAGUAGGGCGGGACACGUGAAAUCCUGUUUGAAGAUGGGGGGACCAUCCUCCAAGGCUAAAUACUCGUGAUCGACCGAUAGUGAACCAGUACCGUGAGGGAAAGGCGAAAAGAACCCCGGAAGGGGAGUGAAAUAGAUCCUGAAACCGUAUGCAUACAAACAGUAGGAGCCUCCUUGUGGGGUGACUGCGUACCUUUUGUAUAAUGGGUCAGCGACUUACAUUCAGUGGCAAGGUUAACCGAAUAGGGAAGCCGUAGCGAAAGCGAGUCCGAAUAGGGCGAUUCAGUCGCUGGGUGUAGACCCGAAACCAGAUGAUCUAUCCAUGGCCAGGUUGAAGGCACGGUAACACGUGCUGGAGGACCGAACCCACUAAUGUUGAAAAAUUAGGGGAUGAGCUGUGGAUAGGGGUGAAAGGCUAAACAAAUCUGGAAAUAGCUGGUUCUCUCCGAAAACUAUUUAGGUAGUGCCUCAAGUAUUACUGCGGGGGGUAGAGCACUGUUAUAGCUAGGGGGUCAUGGCGACUUACCAAACUAUGGCAAACUCCGAAUACCCGCAAGUACAGCUUGGGAGACAGAGCACCGGGUGCUAACGUCCGGACUCAAGAGGGAAACAACCCAGACCGCCAGCUAAGGUCCCGAAUUAUCGCUAAGUGGGAAACGAAGUGGGAAGGCAUAGACAGUCAGGAGGUUGGCUUAGAAGCAGCCAUCCUUUAAAGAAAGCGUAAUAGCUCACUGAUCGAGUCGUCCUGCGCGGAAGAUGUAACGGGGCUAAGCGAUAAACCGAAGCUGCGGGUGUGCAUUUUUAGUGCACGCGGUAGGAGAGCGUUCUGUAAGCCUGCGAAGGUGGCUUGUAAAGGCUGCUGGAGGUAUCAGAAGUGCGAAUGCUGACAUGAGUAGCGAUAAAGGGGGUGAAAAGCCCCCUCGCCGUAAGUCCAAGGUUUCCUGCGCAACGUUCAUCGGCGCAGGGUGAGUCGGCCCCUAAGGCGAGGCAGAGAUGCGUAGCUGAUGGGAAGCUGGUUAAUAUUCCAGCACCGUCGUACAGUGCGAUGGGGGGACGGAUCGCGGAAGAUCAUCAGGGUGUUGGAUGUCCCUGUUGCUGCAUCGAAGAUGGCGCUUAGGCAAAUCCGGGCGCGUAAAUCAAGGGUGUGGCACGAGCGAGCAUUGCUUGCGAAGUGAUUGGAAGUGGUUCCAAGAAAAGCCUCUAAGCUUCAGCUGUACGAGACCGUACCGCAAACCGACACAGGUGGACGGGAUGAAUAUUCCAAGGCGCUUGAGAGAACUCAGGAGAAGGAACUCGGCAAAUUGAUACCGUAACUUCGGGAGAAGGUAUACCCCGGUAGUGUGAAGCGCCUGCGCGCUUAGCAUGAUGGGGUCGCAGAGAAUCGGUGGCUGCGACUGUUUAUUAAAAACACAGCACUCUGCAAAGACGAAAGUCGACGUAUAGGGUGUGACGCCUGCCCGGUGCCGGAAGGUUAAGUGAUGGGGUGCAAGCUCUUGAUCGAAGCCCCGGUAAACGGCGGCCGUAACUAUAACGGUCCUAAGGUAGCGAAAUUCCUUGUCGGGUAAG